GAGCUGUGGAGCAGGAGCAGG
rnacentral:misc_RNA from 1 species